AGUUCUGUCAUCGGUGUUAAUCGUGUAGGUAAGUAUUCGUAAAAUAAAAGGCUAUAUUUUUCAUUCUCUGCUAUCAGUCGAAGACCUACUCGACUAUUUUGUUUAAAAAAAUUGGAAACUGACUGUUUUAUUAAGCCUAUUAAGACCCUUUCUUACUUUUUAACCGAACCUAACCUUAAAAUAUUGUAAUUUUUUUAUGGUUAAUAUUUCUGAAAUGCGGAAACCGUUUUCAGUAAUUUUUUCUACAAAUAUUCUGAUGAUGUCAUUGAACAGAUAGAACUUGAUUUGAUGGUGAUACAAAAAUCUUGAAGACAGUACAUUUGUUCAUACUUGAAUGGGCAUUGUCUUUUGUGUAAGUUAG